UCCCCGAUAGCUCAGUCGGUAGAGCGACGGACUGUUAAUCCGCAGGUCCCAGGUUCGAGCCUGGUCGGGGAGCCA
rnacentral:tRNA from 2 species